rnacentral:lncRNA from 1 species
GCAACCAUCCAAUGAGAAUCGUAGGAAAAUUAACAGUUCCACAGACAAUCAUCCAGUGACCACAUUGUCUCUUUUUGGACAUACCAUCUGACGCUUUCUGAAGAUCUUGGGGUGUAAAUAACCCAGGACAGCACCGGAAGAAGCCGUCAGACCACAAGCUAAAUUUCUUAUUAAAAUCUAUAGCUUGCCUAUAAACAGAGACAAACUAUUUUUAUAUAAAAUAACUUUAUUAGUUCUAAAAUGUAGAUCUUGAAUUGUGACCAUAAUAAAAUGAGAAAAUAAAGUGUUUAUACUGAAGUUCAUUCCUUUUUACUUUACUGAUGCAGAGGAGUAGAUUACAAGAACCCAUAAAGCUCUCAGGCUCGCUGUGUUAUGUUGGCGAUGCUAUGUUGAAUUUGUUUCUUGGUCCAAUGUUGGCACUUGGAAAUGAAUUCAAUAUUUCAUUAUCAAUAUGAUCACGACAAUGUAUUGAAAUUUUGUAGAAAUCAAAUUCAAAAUGUGAAAAAUGAAACAUUAGUCAGUACUUUCCAGGAGGCCUUUACCAGGACCCAGUACCUCUCGUUGCAAAUCUACCUACUUCUCCAGUGAGAAGUGAAGAAAAAAGUCAACCCGGCACUGCCAAUGAAGCUACUCAGUUUCUACUCGUUUGGUUGCAACUAUGGAAGCUGAAAAUGACUUUUUGUAGAAUGUCAAAGUACUUCAAGAAGCAGUAAAUAUUGCAAAGUAGUUAGUUGUCUUCUUGUUUUUCAUUUAGAUGUACUGAAAGUAGUGAUGAAAAAAUUGUGCUUUAUAUAGUUCGUCCGCUCUAACUUUUCCGUUUUGACUUAAUUUGUUUGAAAAUAAAUCGUGACGCAUGGGAAAAGUUAGAGCAGACGAACUAUACUGGUUUACCAUGCAAAUAUGUAUUUAUGUGUUUAUAAUAUGAGUUUAGACUGAUGUCAAUUAAUUAUUAUCAAGAUUGGGCUGUGGUCAAUGUACCUAAAAUUGAUCCGUUACUAUUUACAGUGAUGAAAUUGAAACUAAAUCUUGUAAAUGAAGAUUUAGGCAUUAUAUUUAAAAUUUCAAUGAGGAUUUCAUCCUACUGAACCUGGUUUAAACAUUAUUUCAAAAUAUUAUGAAGGAAUUUCACAGCAGGAAUAAAAAUAACUUAUUGCAUGCCAACAUGAUUCAAAAAUUUUAUAAAUUGUAGAAUAAUUUUAGACUGCACAGAAAUCUAUUGUAACCAACCAAAAAAUUGGAAAAACAGAUAGAGUAACAUAUAGCUCAUAUAAACAUAGAAAUACUUUAAAAUGUCUAAUUGAAGUGGCUCCCAAUGGAGUAGUUACUUAUGCAAGUAAGGUUCAGUAUUUGACAAGAAGAUAGUAAAAAAUUUAGUAUGUAUAUUACAGCACAUGGUAUGCACAAGCAUCAGGUGACUUAGUAAUUGCUGAUAAAUGAUUUUUGGUUUCCCAUUUGUUUCCUUCAGUUGUAAGUUCAAAAAAUAGACCACCUCUUUGAACAACUGCUCAAUUUACACCAAACCAAUAAUUGCUAAAGGAAGAAUACAUGUCAGAAAAAUCAUAGCAUGUGAUUUGACUUUAAAAAACACAUGCAAUGAUGACAGUAACAUUCUAAUGUUAGUGGUCACACAGUAAAUCACUAGAAAAAACUCCCGACUAUCCGAAUUAUACUAUCCCGACAUGGUAAGUAUGGGUCAUUCGUCAUUCUAUGAAUAUACAACUCUCUUGGAUUAUCUUGAUAACGAAUAUUUUACUGUGCAAAAUAUAAAGAACGAAAGUAAAUUGAAAAUUACAUUGUUGUUUAUGGUAAUAAUUAAUAGAGCCAUUUAUUUUCGUACUUCCUAUGUUGCACAGUAAAAUAUUCGUUGUUGAGAUAAUCCAAGAGAGUCAUAUUCGUUGAAUGGCCCAUAUUUGAUCUUACAUUUAGUUUACUCUCAAAAUUAACAUCAAAGUCUGAUUUUAUAUGUAUGUUAUUUUAAAAUAUAAAUUAUGUAUUCUCGAUAUGUUAUUGACUUACUAAUCAUGGUAAAUAUUUUCUU